GACGAACGCUGGCGGCGUGCUUAACACAUGCAAGUCGAACGAUGAAGUUCCUUCGGGAAUGGAUUAGUGGCGAACGGGUGAGGAACACGUGAGAAACCUGCCUUUCAUUUUGGGAUAACUCCGGGAAACCGGGGCUAAAACCGAAUACUCCGUCUCGGCGGCAUCGCUGAGCCGGGAAAAAAUUUUGAUGAAAGAUGGUCUCGCGGCCUAUCAGCUAGUUGGUGAGGUAAUGGCUCACCAAGGCAACGACGGGUAGCCGGCCUGAGAGGGCGACCGGCCACGCUGGGACUGAGACACGGCCCAGACUCCUACGGGAGGCAGCAGUGGGGAAUAUUGGGCAAUGGGCUCAAGCCUGACCCAGCGACGCCGCGUGAGGGAUGAAGGCCUUCGGGUUGUAAACCUCUUUCAGUAGGGAAGAAGCGAAAGUGACGGUACCUAAAGAAGAAGCACCGGCUAACUAUGUGCCAGCAGCCGCAGUAA
rnacentral:rRNA from 1 species